AUGACGGACGAGAGAAUUAGGAAGCACUUAAAAGAAGCCAAAAAAAACACACACACACACAAAACCCCACCAAGUCCUCAAAACAUCCGGGUUAAAAGGCUGUGCAUAUUUCUUGUGCAGCUGUAAAUUCAGAAGAUCUUGAAUGUGCAUGAAUGCACUAAGGAGGAGGAGAAGGAGGAUCAUCUAUAGAGAAACAUUAAAAGUAACCCUGCUGGGUCUGGCGUGUGUUUCUCGCAGUGACCAACCAGCUCCCUCUCAUCCUUCCAAGCAAGAAAUGAAUAAACAUCUCUUUCCUGCAGCUUCUCCCUGAUCUGCUUUGGAGGACACCCCAACCCUACCCCCAGUCUGGAGGCAUCUAAUAACAUCCCACAUCUCUGCCCUCCAAUCCACUUUUAAAGCCAGCUAAGUAUGCAGACAUCAUGAAGCUUUGUGGUUAAUGGAUUCUGCAGGCUAUUUACUCAUAUAGCAAGUGCAAACAUCAAGAUUGUUUCUCUAAACGUAAUGAGCCAAAGGAGUUCUUUAACUAAUAUCCCUGUAGGCAUCUGCUACAAACUGCAGUGAUGAUGUAAGAGUGACAGAACAGGCAUUGGGAUGUGACAGGGCAACUCCCAGCCUUUCAAAGCAACCUCAAUUAAAUAAUUGUAUAUGGAUUCUAAAAUGAACUUCAUUGUAUAGAUCUGAAAUACAUUUUCUCCAACCUGGUUCUAAACGUGUUAAGUACAACUCCUAAAAUUUCAUUUUCCUAGGCUAGCUAGAAAUUAUGGAUGUGUGAUUCAGCCUAUUUGGAAAACACCAAUGUGAGAAAGUUGACUUAAGGAUGACUGAAUGGUGAAUUUUUUCAUUACUGCUUGCAUAAAUGAGAUUUCAAAAGCAUCCCAUCAGGAAGGGUCUGCAAACCCAAAAAUGUUAAGAAAUAAUUAUAAUUUUAAUUAAUUUACUUGUUGUUGGUCUAACAACCCCAUUUAUAAAUUAAGGUUUUGCUUUCUAAAGUAACUUCAUAUUCACAAAUCUGUUUACUUUUAUUUUCCUGAUCAAUACGUUGAAAGUGAAAUCCCAAGCAUACUGUGAUGGAAUGGAAUUAUGAAGGCCAGGCUCAGGGAUAUAAACAUUUUCUUAGCUCGCCAGAGGAGCGUGGGAGAUACAAGAGG